GAGUUUGAUCCCUGGCUCAGGACGAACGCUGGCGGCGUGCUUAACACAUGCAAGUCGAACGAUGAUGCCCAGCUUGCUGGGCGGAUUAGUGGCGAACGGGUGAGUAAUACGUGAGUAACCUGCCCUUGACUCUGGGAUAAGCCUGGGAAACUGGGUCUAAUACUGGAUACUACCUCUUACCGCAUGGUGGGUGGUGGAAAGGGUUUUACUGGUUUUGGAUGGGCUCACGGCCUAUCAGCUUGUUGGUGGGGUAAUGGCUCACCAAGGCGACGACGGGUAGCCGGCCUGAGAGGGUGACCGGCCACACUGGGACUGAGACACGGCCCAGACUCCUACGGGAGGCAGCAGUGGGGAAUAUUGCACAAUGGGCGGAAGCCUGAUGCAGCGACGCCGCGUGAGGGAUGACGGCCUUCGGGUUGUAAACCUCUUUCAGUAGGGAAGAAGCGAGAGUGACGGACCUGCAGAAGAAGCGCCGGCAA
rnacentral:rRNA from 1 species